AUCGGACUUUUGCUGAUGAGGUAUCACUCCGACAGAAAAGUAGAGACCUGUGUAUGUGUUUCAUGUUUCCAACAAAGAAGGCAAAGGAAAGUUGGCGCGGGCAAGACGUGAAUAAGGCAAAGGAAAGUUGUCGCAGGCAAGACGUGAAUAUAAGUACAUAUUUAGUCCUAUCUUUUCGCUUUUAAGAUUUCUGUCUUUUUGAUUUCAAGACUUAUUUAGUCCUGUCUUUUCUCAUUCUGGUGCUUUGUGUCAAUACGUGGA